CGACCGGCGCACGGGUGAGUAACACGUAUGGAACCUGCCCUAUGCAGGGGGAUAAGCGGAAGAAAUUCCGUCUAAUACCGCAUAACACCAUUUGGAGACAUCUCCAGGGGGUCAAAGGAGGCGACUCCGGCAUAGGAUGGCCAUGCGUCGCAUUAGCUAGUCGGCGGGUAACGGCCCACCGAGGCGACGAUGCGUAGGGGUUCUGAGAGGAAGGUCCCCCACACUGGUACUGAGACACGGACCAGACUCCUACGGAAGGCAGCAG
rnacentral:rRNA from 1 species